GCUAUUGGAUUUUGGCUUGUGGGAAAAUUAACGUAAUCUAAGGGGGCAAAUUGAGUAAGACGACCCUGUUAUGUUUAUCCAAAAAUCUUUUCAGAGCUGGUCUAAGUCCCUUUUUUGGCUUCCACUUGAGGUUCUAUUCACAAAAUGGUGACUUUUUUCAAUGAGCAAGGUAGGGAGCCAAAUGUAAUUUUAAUGCACUGCAGCUGUAUGAACAUAUUGCUGGUUGAGUUGUUAGGUGUGUAUGAUGAUGUUUUGUUGAUUCAAUGAGCUACAUAUUGGUUUGUUGUAUGAUGAUGUUUUGUUGAUUCAAUGUUUUGUUGAUUCAAUGAUGUUUUGUUGUUAGCUGUUUGAACAUAUUGCUGGUUGAGUUGUUAGGUGUGUAUGAUGAUGAUGUUUUGUUGAGUUGUAGGAGGAUCAUCUGGCAUGAUGAUGUCUCACAUGUAAGAGAAACUUAAUCCAUGACCUCAGAGAGUAGGAACUAGUUGAUGAUUUUGCUAUUAGUUUUACUUUCAUGAGCACUUUGCUGGUUUUCUCCAUUCUUCUCUUUCGCUGUAUCAUUUACACGCAAAGAAAUCAACUAGGGAAGCUUAUUUGGAUGCUCUAUGAGAUCAGGUCUUGUAUAAGAAAAGAGGAAAAAGAAGAGAAGAAUCAAGACCGGAGGCAUCCGUGAGCUCGUGCCUUUUCUUGCAUCAAAACUUCCUAAUUCAGCAGUAAAAAUCUGAUUGUUGGAUUGUAUACCCUUUACUUUGUGAGUUUAAACAUCCAAGAGGUAGUUUUCUGAAGUUUAUUAAGUUAUGCAUCCAUGGCAAUUAUCGUUGAGAAUGCUUAUGAAGUCUUUGGUUCGUUUAAUCUGUCAUUAUAUGAUUUGGAAAUUACAUGUUAAGAAAUUCUAUACCUUGGUGUUUUUGACUAUUGGAAAAAUUAAAAUUGCUAACUUUUGUUUGUUGAAUCCCAAUUAAGAGGCUCCAUAAGGAAUUGUUUCGAGUAGGGAUCUAUGACAGUUGUAGAUGUUUAUUUGAAUUGUUAAUGUACUAAAUGAUGUAGGUUAGGUUAUACUCUGGCCUUACGAGUGAUAAAUUUUGCUAAAUGAUUCCAUAGUUAGAUAACCAUUGGAACACCUGAGGUUUCAGAUUACAUGAAUCGAGUGGAUUAUGAAUUUCAUGGUCAAAUAAAUACUCAAAACAUCUUAAACCACUAUGACUCGGUAUAUGUGAGAUUUAUGUUAAAGCUAAAGUGUGUAUUAACUCAUGAACCAUGAAGCUCCUAAUUGCAUACUCCAUUCUCCUUUCUUGCUUGGGAAUUUCAAGAAGCAUGACCGAAGUCUGAUAACAAAAAUGAUGAUUAAUAUAUAGAUAGGGUGUAAACAGUGCUUUGUUUCAGAAGAUAAGGUGUCUAAAUUUGGUUGGUUUCGAGUAAAAUCAACUGCUCAUAGUUAUGUCCUAGUUGUGAAAAAGUUCACUAGAAUGAUAUACUUUUUCGUGUUCUGUUAAGAAACUUUAAAUUGCAUGAUUGCAAUUUCUUCUUUGGAUCAGAAUUCUCAGUCCCAGAUAUAUUGUUGUUGCAUAUUUUAUAGGCUCUAGCAGAAACAAUGACUAUUACACUUACAAUUACAAGAUAAGGUACUGACAACUUAACUACAACAUAAAAAAGGAGGGAAGGAAAGAUAUUGUUUGCUUUCGUCUUUGCAUACCAUUAACUCUCAGUCUAUUUGCAUGUGAAGCACUCUUUCAUCAGCAAGAUUAGAUAAUAAGACUGCUCUCAUGCUGCUACUCAUUUUCCAUCCUACGCUUAUUUAUCGGCUUUUACCUUUCGAGUCCAGUUUUCCUGUUAUUGCUGAUCUAUCCAAAGCGGAUUUUAAAAUUCUGUUUUGGUAAGAAUUUCACUAUCCAUUAACUGCGUAUAGAAAGAUACAUAGUGAUGAUAACUGUGAGACCCUGGAACUGGGCCCGGUCCAUUUGACCAUCCCAAAGAAGAAGGAAGCCCUGUUUUAGGGCUUCUUCUCCUUCUCGUUGAGACCAGUUGAAGGGGAGCCGCAAACCCCCCGAGUCUCCUCUUCUUCCUCAUGCAGCCGCCCAAGAGGGAUGGAGGGGGGGGGGGGAGGGAGAGAGCCGAGAAGCCACGGCACGGGUUUCUUCCAUUGCCGCUGGAGAGGAGGAGAAUCGUCGGUCUUCAUCGAAGGCUAAGGUUCUACGAGGAAUUUGUGAGAUUAAUUGGAUUUGUUGUGGAUCGCGUUCAAUGUAAGUAAUAAACUGCCCUUUCUAGACUCUUCAUUUAUAUAAUAUUAUUUUUGCAUCGAAUAAAUUGUUAAUAAAUUUAUAUGUGACUUAUGAAUUUUACGAGAUGAUGAUUUGAAUGAAAGAUAGAUAGAUGAAUUAGAACAAUAUUUUUCGGAUAUAUUUACUGUUCUUGCAUCGUAUAUGCAUAUUUAGAUCGGAUUAUAAUAUAUCUAUUAUGUUAACAAAAGAAUUUUGAUGUGCAUUAGAUUUAGAACUCUCAGCCUGACUAUGUUCUGGACCCUUUCAAUUGGGGGUUAUGCAUUGGCAAUUCUGACCCCACCACAGGAUAUAAGUAUGGUACUCUGGCCCACUCCGCAGGGUAUAAGUACGAUAUUCUAGCCCACUCCGUAGGGUAUAAGUGCAGUUCUGUUUCUAACCUAGCCACAGGGUAUAAGUGUGGUCGUAGUUAAAGGCUGUUGAGUUGAA